rnacentral:rRNA from 1 species
AGAGUUUGAUCCUGGCUCAGGAUGAACGCUGGCGGCGUGCCUAAUACAUGCAAGUCGAGCGAACGGACGAGAAGCUUGCUUCUCUGAUGUUAGCGGCGGACGGGUGAGUAACACGUGGAUAACCUACCUAUAAGACUGGGAUAACUUCGGGAAACCGGAGCUAAUACCGGAUAAUAUUUUGAACCGCAUGGUUCAAAAGUGAAAGACGGUCUUGCUGUCACUUAUAGAUGGAUCCGCGCUGCAUUAGCUAGUUGGUAAGGUAACGGCUUACCAAGGCAACGAUGCAUAGCCGACCUGAGAGGGUGAUCGGCCACACUGGAACUGAGACACGGUCCAGACUCCUACGGGAGGCAGCAGUAGGGAAUCUUCCGCAAUGGGCGAAAGCCUGACGGAGCAACGCCGCGUGAGUGAUGAAGGUCUUCGGAUCGUAAAACUCUGUUAUUAGGGAAGAACAUAUGUGUAAGUAACUGUGCACAUCUUGACGGUACCUAAUCAGAAAGCCACGGCUAACUACGUGCCAGCAGCCGCGGUAAUACGUAGGUGGCAAGCGUUAUCCGGAAUUAUUGGGCGUAAAGCGCGCGUAGGCGGUUUUUUAAGUCUGAUGUGAAAGCCCACGGCUCAACCGUGGAGGGUCAUUGGAAACUGGAAAACUUGAGUGCAGAAGAGGAAAGUGGAAUUCCAUGUGUAGCGGUGAAAUGCGCAGAGAUAUGGAGGAACACCAGUGGCGAAGGCGACUUUCUGGUCUGUAACUGACGCUGAUGUGCGAAAGCGUGGGGAUCAAACAGGAUUAGAUACCCUGGUAGUCCACGCCGUAAACGAUGAGUGCUAAGUGUUAGGGGGUUUCCGCCCCUUAGUGCUGCAGCUAACGCAUUAAGCACUCCGCCUGGGGAGUACGACCGCAAGGUUGAAACUCAAAGGAAUUGACGGGGACCCGCACAAGCGGUGGAGCAUGUGGUUUAAUUCGAAGCAACGCGAAGAACCUUACCAAAUCUUGACAUCCUUUGACAACUCUAGAGAUAGAGCCUUCCCCUUCGGGGGGCAAAGUGACAGGUGGUGCAUGGUUGUCGUCAGCUCGUGUCGUGAGAUGUUGGGUUAAGUCCCACAACGAGCGCAACCCUUAAGCUUAGUUGCCAUCAUUAAGUUGGGCACUCUAAGUUGACUGCCGGUGACAAACCGGAGGAAGGUGGGGAUGACGUCAAAUCAUCAUGCCCCUUAUGAUUUGGGCUACACACGUGCUACAAUGGACAAUACAAAGGGCAGCGAAACCGCGAGGUCAAGCAAAUCCCAUAAAGUUGUUCUCAGUUCGGAUUGUAGUCUGCAACUCGACUACAUGAAGCUGGAAUCGCUAGUAAUCGUAGAUCAGCAUGCUACGGUGAAUACGUUCCCGGGUCUUGUACACACCGCCCGUCACACCACGAGAGUUUGUAACACCCGAAGCCGGUGGAGUAACCUUUUAGGAGCUAGCCGUCGAAGGUGGGACAAAUGAUUGGGGUGAAGUCGUAACAAGGUAGCCGUAUCGGAAGGUGCGGCUGGAUCACCU